GAUGAACGCUAGCUAUAGGCUUAACACAUGCAAGUCGAGGGGCAGCGAAUAGAUAGCUUGCUAUUUAUGUCGGCGACCGGCGCACGGGUGAGUAACGCGUAUCCAACCUGCCCAUAACUAAGGGAUAACCCAGCGAAAGUUGGACUAAUACCUUAUGUAUUCGUUUGACCUCAUGAGAUUACGAAUAAAGAUUUAUCGGUUAUGGAUGGGGAUGCGUCUGAUUAGCUUGUUGGCGGGGUAACGGCCCACCAAGGCAACGAUCAGUAGGGGUUCUGAGAGGAAGGUCCCCCACAUUGGAACUGAGACACGGUCCAAACUCCUACGGGAGGCAGCAGUGAGGAAUAUUGGUCAAUGGACGCAAGUCUGAACCAGCCAAGUAGCGUGCAGGAUGACGGCCCUAUGGGUUGUAAACUGCUUUUAUAUGGGGAUAAAGUGGGGAACGUGUUCCCUUUUGCAGGUACCAUAUGAAUAAGAACCGGCUAAUUCCGUG
rnacentral:rRNA from 1 species